rnacentral:rRNA from 1 species
GAUGAACGCUGGCGGCGUGCUUAACACAUGCAAGUCGAGCGAAGCGCUCUGUCCGGAUUCUUUCGGGAUGACGGACUUAGUGACUGAGCGGCGGACGGGUGAGUAACGCGUGGGUAACCUGCCUCGUACAGGGGGAUAACAGUUAGAAAUGACUGCUAAUACCGCAUAAGACCACAGUACCGCAUGGUACAGGGGUAAAAACUCCGGUGGUAUGAGAUGGAUCCGCGUCUGAUUAGCCAAGUUGGCGGGGUAACGGCCCACCAAAGCGACGAUCAGUAGCCGACCUGAGAGGGUGACCGGCCACAUUGGGACUGAGACACGGCCCAAACUCCUACGGGAGGCAGCAGUGGGGAAUAUUGCACAAUGGGCGAAGCCUGAUGCAGCGACGCCGCGUGA